GUCUGGUCUGAGUGCUGUGGGGUUUGCAAAUAUUGAUCACAGACAAGGUUCCUGUUGUAAAAUGUUCCUAUGUUCCUUCUCCACUCUCACUGUUUCACUAGACCAGACCAAA
rnacentral:Y_RNA from 1 species